AAUUUCUUCCUGCGCUAAAUUGUAGCGUACAAUAUAGACUGGUCGAUGGUUCUUUUUGUCUCGCAACAUAUAUACGUAAUUGGGCACAAAAUGGCACAAAAACGUGCUGUAGUGGUUAUUAUUGCUGGCAUGACGGAGGCCACAACAGCCUCACAAGUAUACAGACGGCGCUGGAGGCGCCGGUCCCACGCGGCCGGUAAAAUAAGGCGUGUUGUUAUUCCUCCGUCUUGAAUGUGCCGGUCGGUAGUGCACGCUGCUUCGAUGUGUUUGUUUAAUCGUGUGUUUUUAGGUUUGCCGUAAUGAAAUGUGGCGUAGUUCGCGUGCACGAAAGUGCCGGAAGAUAGCCUGCGUCUCGCUGCAAACUCGUCGUAUACGUGGCACGCCAGGCAAAUGCGGACCUACUAUUUUCAUGCCGUGGAGUGUUCCCUUUGUCUUGGGUGGUCGUGGAAAGUUUUAUGGACGUCGCAAUGAAAUGUGUUUUAUUAGCGUGCCUCAGCUCGUCCAUUACGCAACGGCAUGUAUGCUGGUAUCAACAUCGUCGACGCAGCAAUGGCAACUCGGAGAGCUCUUUUCGAUCUCAUCGUACUGUUCAAAAGUGGUGAGGCCGUGGCCCGCAACAGUGUCCACUAAAAAGAGGAGCCCCCAGAAAUGCAGACCCCAUAUGAGUGCCUGCAGCAGCACGGCUGGAUGCUCAUGUCAGGCUUCACCAUGGCGGAGUACCAGGCGGAACCAACGAGGUUAAAAGCUAGCCUUUCCUUGCUGCUU